UUGGAGCAGCAGGCCGUACCUCUCGGCUCUUGGACGUCGCGUUUUCUGAUGAACUUUACCUGUAAUUUUGUCGAUAUUCUUACCCAGCCCAGUCUUGUGCAUCCAAAAAUAUUUCGACAAUAAACUGUUGCACAUUUGGAACAAAUUUGGCCGAGACUUUUGUAGGCUACCAAGACAAAUGGUCAUGCAACUUAAGCAUUAUUUUGUCACUGGGUCUGGUUGGACAGACAGUUUUUACUAAAAACUACAGUCUUCAAUAAGCCACAACGUUAUUAGAAUCAGACUUCCGACCACAGACUUUGAAAGCAAACUGACUUUAUGAACUUCUUUGUUUGUGUGUGUGGCUGGGGGCUUCGCUGAAAUGCCGUAGACUGCAGUGAAAAACUUCACAACCAAAGCUGAACAUAUCGAAUCAACGACAUCUUGUUGAGUUCAGAGACGGCAAAUGACAUGUAGCUGUAAGCAAUGGAUAGAGACUGGGGCAACUCACAACAGACCCAGUGAACUUUCGUCCAGACAAUCUUAAAGAAACAUUGAUGGGACUGGUUGUGCUGAUAACUCUCGAGAGAAUGUGACCUGAAGAUGGCUGUUGAAGAUCUUGACCUGGAAGACAUGGAUGUACAUCGGAGGUCAUUAAAGGGCUAAGAUGGCUGUUGAAGAUCUAUGGAUGUGGUAUGGGAGUUGAAGAUCUAUGGAUAUGUGGUUUGUGGACGUACAUUGGAGAUCACCAAAGGACCAAGGUAAAAACAGCUGUGCAAUCCGACCUCCACUGGUUUUAAGUUCAUUUUUGCGAUACACCCCGUUAUUACAUUUUGGACUUUUUCCCUCUAAUUAUUUUUUUUUUAAAUAUCUUAAUUGGCAGCAAAUGCAAUCUAGUCACUUUUAUGGAGACACCAUGUACUACUAAAAAAUGAGAAGAAAAUCCUUUAUUAUGCACUUUUACUGUAAGUACAUGUCUCUAGAAGACGAUCAGAGCAUACUGACCGAAACGUCGAGUUGAAACCAACGGUUCUUUUCA